ensembl:lncRNA
AGUGUUUCUCUAGGGCUCCCACUCUGCUAUACACACACAUACACACACAGACACACACACACGCAGACAUAUACACACACACAUACACCUUCCGACAGACACACACUCUCACAUGCCCGCCUGGUGAACGAGUGAGCACACUCAGAUGUAAACACACACAGUGACGGACGGACAGAGGAGCGGAUGGAGGCAUGGAUGAAUGGAUGGCUGCUGACAAACUGGACAUAAUGGAACUUUAAACUUGUGUUCGUGUGUGUGCGUGCAUUGGUGUGUGUGUGUGUGUGUGUGUCUGGCACAGAGAGAGAGAGAGCCAGAGAAAGUGUGCGAGAGGGUCGGCCGGUCGGUGUGUCUGUUACCGUGGCGAUGGAAGGAGGGAGUGUGAAAACAGAGGAAUGCUUUCGGUGAUAGAAAGAGAGAGCUGGCCAGCCCUCUUCUCUCUUUUCUCUCACCCAUAUUCUGUCUGUUUCUCCCAUCAUUUAUGUCUUUCCUUCCCUUCCCUUCUAUGCUUUUCUUUCUAACAAUCUCUCUCUUUCUUGCAUCUCUUCCUUCCCAUCCUCACCCAUUUUCCUUGCUCCCCCACUCUUCCUCCUCUCUAUUUUUCUCUCUCUUCCUUCUCCCCUCUCUCCCCUCACUCAAUCCAUUACUCCUUUCUUCUUUCUAUUUCGUUUGCCUGUUUUCUAUACCUCCUACUUGUCACACUUUCCCCUGGUCUUUUUCGUUUCCUCCUUGUCUUUCCUUCUCCUUCACUCUCAUGCUCUCCGUCCAUCUUUCUCUCCCUCCUCUUGCACCCUUUCCAUUUAUCUCUUUCUUUCUUUCUUUAUGUUCUCCUGGCUCUCUUUCUCCUCCCUAUUUCUCUAUUUUGUAUCAUUCUCUCACACCUCCACUCUCUCACUAUCUGCUUCUUUCUCUCCCCUUGCUCUCUCUCUUCCUUCCUUUCUCUGUGUAGCAUUCUUUCUCUCCCUUUCUCACUUUUGCUCUAGCUGCUCCUCCUUUUCCUCUCAUUCCUCCCUCUCACCUCCUCCCUCUCCUUCCAUACCUUCCCCUUUACCUUCUCGGUUUUACUCCCUGUCUCGCUUUCUCUCUUCCCACCUUCACUCUCUGUUCCUUUCUCUCCCAAAUUUGAAGAAACUCUCUCUGUUAACCCCUGUCUGACUCUGUCCUCGACUUCAUUGCUUCCUUUCGUUUUUUCAUUUCGUCUUCCUUUAG